CCCUUAGAUGUUCUGGGCCGCACGCGCGCUACACUGAUGCAUUCAACGAGCCUAUCCUUGACCGACAGGUCCGGGUAAUCUUUGAAUCUGCAUCGUGACGGGGAUAGAUUAUUGCAAUUAUUAAUCUUCAACGAGGAAUGCCUAGUAGGCGCAAGUCAUCAGCUUGCGUCGAUUACGUCCCUGCCCUUUGUACACACCGCCCGUCGCUCCUAUCGAUUGGGUGUGCUGGUGAAAUGUUCGGAUCGGCCGUUUGUCGCGGUUUCCGCGGCUCGUGGCUGAGAAGUUCAUUAAACCCUCCCACCUAGAGGAAGGAGAAGUCGUAACA
rnacentral:rRNA from 1 species